AAUUAACGCUAGCGAUACACCUAACACAUGCAAGUUGAACGCAUAUAUUUUUAUAUGAGUAGCGAACGGGUGCGUAACACGUGAGAAUCUACCCAUAGCUUAUGGUUAAAUGCCGUAGAAUCUUAUAGAUUUAGAUAUAUAUCGGUUAUGGAUGAGCUUGCGGGGUAUUAGGUAGUUGGUGUGGUAAUGGCGCACCAAGCCCAAGAUGCCUAGCCGGUUUGAGAGAACGAUCGGCCACACUGGGACUGAGACACGGCCCAGACGCUUACGAGCGGCAGCAGUGGGGAAUAUUGGACAAUGGGCGAAAGCCUGAUCCAGUGAUAUCGCUUUGGGGAUGACGGCGACAUACG
rnacentral:rRNA from 1 species